UCCCCUUCUCCCCCGAAGGUGCGCGGGCGGCCGUCACCGCGCGUUCUCGUCAGAGCGGGCCUGAGGGGCGCUGCGGGCUUCCGUCGCUCGGGGGGCGACGGCCCCCUGAGCCCUUCCGUGGGUGUGCGUGUAGGAUGCGGACCCAGCGCCAACCUUGCGUCCACGCGCCCGCGCAAAACCCGCGCCCAAAGCACCUGAAUGGUCUUUGACCUUAACUUCUGGAUCUGCUGUGCAGAGCGGUACAGAAAUUUCCGACGGGUACCAGGUCCUUAAUCCCAAACCGACCCCAAAUUAGAAAAAAAACCAUAACAUGCCGAGCAAGAGAAUAGCCAACGGGUUGUUCUGAAAUUCAUAAGCAACUUAAAGAUAUUUUCUGCCCAACCUGAUACAAUAAAAGAUAUAGCACUUUCAAGGCUAUGUAGUGGAACAGCUUUGGAAAAAGACAGCCAUGAAUUCAAAUCACGAGUAACUACAAGGCUGGCGUAUUAUUAUUAUUUGCUGAACCAUUUGAGAGCAAGCUGCAGGCAUCAUGACCUUUUACCCAUAAAUAACUUCGGU